rnacentral:rRNA from 1 species
GAUGAACGCUGGCGGCGUGCCUAAUACAUGCAAGUCGAGCGAACAGACGAGGAGCUUGCUCCUCUGACGUUAGCGGCGGACGGGUGAGUAACACGUGGAUAACCUACCUAUAAGACUGGGAUAACUUCGGGAAACCGGAGCUAAUACCGGAUAAUAUAUUGAACCGCAUGGUUCAAUAGUGAAAGACGGUUUUGCUGGCACUUAUAGAUGGAUCCGCGCCGCAUUAGCUAGUUGGUAAGGUAACGGCUUACCAAGGCAACGAUGCGUAGCCGACCUGAGAGGCGGGUCGGCCACCUUGGAGCUGGACCGGCGUCCAGAGGCCUAAGGGAGGCCGCAGUAGGGAAUCUUACGCAAUGGUGGAAAGCAUGACGGAGCAACGCCGCGUCAGUUAUGACGGUCUUGCGUUCGUAAAACUCUGUUAUUAGGGAUGAACCAAUGUGUAAGUAAAUAUGCCCGUAUUGACGGUACCUAAUCAGAAAGCCACGGCUAACUACGUG